rnacentral:rRNA from 1 species
GAUGAACGCUGGCGGCGUGCCUAAUACAUGCAAGUCGAACGCACAGCGAAAGGUGCUUGCACCUUUCAAGUGAGUGGCGAACGGGUGAGUAACACGUGGAUAACCUACCUCAAGGUUGGGGAUAACAUUUGGAAACAGAUGCUAAUACCGAAUAAAACUUCGUAUCGCAUGAUACAAGGUUAAAAAGGCGCUACGGCGUCACCUAGAGAUGGAUCGCGGUGCAUUAGUUAGUUGGUGGGGUAAAGGCCUACCAAGACAAUGAUGCAUAGCCGAGUUGAGAGACUGAUCGGCCACAUUGGGACUGAGACACGGCCCAAACUCCUACGGGAGGCUGCAGUAGGGAAUCUUCCACAAUGGGCGAAAGCCUGGAUGGAGCAACGCCG